GUGAGGAAUAUUGGGCAAUGGGCGAAAGCCUGACCCAGCCACGCCGCGUGAGUGAUGAAGGCCUUCGGGUUGUAAAGCUCUGUGGGGAGGGAAGAAAAAGCGGGAGAGUAACUGCUCUCGUGUUGACGGUACCUCCUUAGCAAGCACCGGCUAACUCUGUGCCAGCAGCCGCGGUAAUACAGAGGGUGCAAACGUUGCUCGGAAUUACUGGGCGUAAAGCGCGUGUAGGCUGACAUGCAAGUCGGGUGUGAAAUCCCAGGGCUCAACCUUGGAACUGCACUCGAAACUGCACGUCGUGAGUACUGGAGAGGGAAGCGGAAUUCCGGGUGUAGAGGUGAAAUUCGUAGAUAUCCGGAGGAACACCAGUGGCGAAGGCGGCUUCCUGGACAGUAACUGACGCUGAGACGCGAAAGCGUGGGGAGCAAACAGGAUUAGAAACCCCUGUAGUCC
rnacentral:rRNA from 1 species